GCAAGAUUAAAACUCAAAGGAAUAGACGGGGACCCGCACAAGUGGUGGAGCAUGUGGUUUAAUUCGAAGAUACGCGAAGAACCUUACCUAGCCUUGACAUAUUUAAGAAUCCGGCAGAGAUGCUGGAGUGCCUUCGGGAGCUUUCUUACAGGUGCUGCACGGCUGUCGUCAGCUCGUGUCGUGAGAUGUUGGGUUAAGUCCCGCAACGAGCGCAACCCUCGUCACUAGUUACUAACGGUUCGGCCGAGGACUCUAGUGAGACUGCCUUCGUAAGGAGGAGGAAGGUGAGGACGACGUCAAGUCAUCAUGGCCCUUACGGCUAGGGCAACACACGUGCUACAAUGGCCAGGACAGUGAGACGCAAUACCGCGAGGUGGAGCAAAUCUAUAAACCUGGUCUCAGUUCGGAUUGUUCUCUGCAACUCGAGAACAUGAAGCUGGAAUCACUAGUAAUCGUAGAUCAGCUAUGCUACGGUGAAUACGUUCCCGGGUCUUGUACUCACCGCCCGUCACACCAUGGGAGUUGAUUUCACCCGAAGCGGGGAAGCUAAACUGGCUACCCUCCACGGUGGAAUUAGCGACUGGGGUGAAGUCGUAACAAGGUA
rnacentral:rRNA from 1 species